UACGGGAGGCAGCAGUGGGGAAUAUUGCACAAUGGGCGCAAGCCUGAUGCAGCCAUGCCGCGUGUAUGAAGAAGGCCUUCGGGUUGUAAAGUACUUUCAGUCGUGAGGAAGGUGUUAAGGUUAAUAACCUUAGCAAUUGACGUUAGCGACAGAAGAAGCACCGGCUAACUCCGUGCCAGCAGCCGCGGUAAUACGGAGGGUGCGAGCGUUAAUCGGAAUUACUGGGCGUAAAGGGCACGCAGGCGGUUAAUUAAGUUGGAUGUGAAUCCCCGGGCUUAACCUGGGAAUGGCAUUCAAGACUGGUUAGCUAGAGUCUUGUAGAGGGGGUAGAAUUCCAUGUGUAGCGGUGAAAUGCGUAGAGAUGUGGAGGAAUACCGGUGGCGAAGGCGGCCCCUGGGACAAAGACUGACGCUCAUGUGCGAAAGCGUGGGGAGCAAACAGGGAUUAGAUACC
rnacentral:rRNA from 1 species